GUAUGGCUGUGCACUGUUGAGUAAGCAAACAGAGUAAAUUCUUCUUUUACCAAGAGGUAGAUCUGUUUAUAUGUUAAUAACUAAAACUUGUGUUAGGUCAAAUAAAAAAAUUGCUAAUUGUUGCAGUAUGCUGCUUUUCAAAGUUUGAACAUACAAGUUCAUGUGGAUAUCUGUGUGAGCAAAACAAAAGAAGGGGAGUUUAUAGUGAAAGCUUGCGCCACUGUGUCCUUAGAACAUGAAACCGGUGUUCAGUGCUGACAUGUGUUUUCUGUGCAGGAGCUGGAGGAGUUUGUGAACGGUUCUGGAGAGCAUGGGUUUGUGGUCUUCACUCUGGGCUCCAUGGUGUCACAGUUACCCGAGGCUAAAGCCAAAGAGUUAUUUGAGGCAUUCAGGCAGAUACCUCAGAGGGUGCUAUGGAGGCACACUGGACCAGUCCCUGAAAAUGCUCCAAAGAAUGUCAAAC